CAUCUGUAUGUGGACACCAUGUGGGGAAGCAGCAGCCUUGACACCAAACAUUUUAACACAGUGACUGGUUGGUGACCUUGGCUUCCCCACCCCUGGGCAUGAGGCCAAUGGCCUUGCUCCAGCUGAUGAAGAGCAGGCAGAGAUGCUGUGCUAUUUCCUGGUUGUACUCUCUCCCUCGGCCACCUGCAAUGUUUUGUGAAGGGGCUGCUCCAUCAUUCUGCCUCCCAAAGGCCCCUGCUGACCGAGGACAGACACAGAAUGGGAAUAAGAAACUUUUGAGCAGCAUGACAUUGAUGUGGCCACGACCAUCAGCACAUAUGGUGUGCCAGGCUUCAUGUUAGAUGACUCACAGAUGAAUGGAUAAAAAAGAUAUGGUCC